rnacentral:rRNA from 1 species
CCUACGGGUGGCAGCAGUGGGGAAUAUUGGACAAUGGGCGAAAGCCUGAUCCAGCCAUGCCGCGUGUGUGAAGAAGGCCUUCGGGUUGUAAAGCACUUUCAGUGGGGAAGAAAGCCUUGGGGCUAAUACCCUCGAGGAAGGACAUCACCCACAGAAGAAGCACCGGCUAACUCCGUGCCAGCAGCCGCGGUAAUACGGAGGGUGCGAGCGUUAAUCGGAAUUACUGGGCGUAAAGCGUGCGUAGGCGGUCUGAUAAGCCGGUUGUGAAAGCCCCGGGCUCAACCUGGGAACGGCAUCCGGAACUGUCAGGCUAGAGUGCAGGAGAGGAAGGUAGAAUUCCCGGUGUAGCGGUGAAAUGCGUAGAGAUCGGGAGGAAUACCAGUGGCGAAGGCGGCCUUCUGGACUGACACUGACGCUGAGGUGCGAAAGCGUGGGUAGCAAACAGGAUUAGAUACCCUUGUAGUC